rnacentral:tRNA from 2 species
CGCGGGGUGGAGCAGCUCGGUAGCUCGUCGGGCUCAUAACCCGAAGGUCGGAGGUUCAAAUCCUCCCCCCGCUACCA